CUCACCUCUUACCAUUCCGAACAGAGUAGUUAAGCCCGUUAGCGCCGAUGGUACUACAUCUCGUGGGAGAGUAGGUCGCCGCCUUGU
rnacentral:rRNA from 1 species